AAACAGCGCCUGAGGAAUAGGAUCCACUUGCGUUAGGGAGAUUGCGAUGAAGCCUGUUCCGACAUUGCCCCUAGAAUCUCCGGAGAUCUUUCCGGAAACCAAUCCGAAAUAGAAGAGCACCGACGUCUGUUUCUGCUCUGCAAUUCCGUGUCCACCACGGCGCGCCCAAGCGACCACAUACGUUGGUGCCUCGUUCUCGUUGGAGGCAAUGGAUUCAGGUGAAAUAUAGAGAGGCGUUUAACCUCAAAUUCACCUUCUCCACUGCUCCUGCCUUAUUCGGAAAUCCGAAAUCAGCGAUCUUGUCGUCGUUGCUGCCGUCCGAGAUGAGCAGUUCAAUCCAACGCCUCCACUUCAAGGGAAGGCUCCAAACAACGACAUUACGACACAACCCAGAUCAUAUCAUCACUUGAAACGGUUAAUUUCUUAAUGGCAUGCUCCACAAAAUCAAAAUUAUUUUAUUAUAUUCCCAACUUCCUCUCCAGAUUUUGUAUAAAUUAAAAUUGUACAGGAACGUAGCAAUUACUCCAAUUUGUAAAUGUGUAGCAGUAAUCCAUGUUUCUAAUGGGUUUCAAGUAGUUUUGGCAGGAAAGUUUCUCUCAUAAAUUUGUGCUCAUGUGCUUCAAAUGUACAAACCUCUUUUCUGUUCGGCUGCUAGUCUGUAAUAUAUGUCGUUUAAAAUUCUACCAAGUAUUCUUCUUCAAACUUGUAUAUCCGAUGAGGUUUGUUCGGAUUUUGAUAUAGUUUCAAGCUUUAGUUUUAGCAUCAACACUUUGAACAUUCUUCUACCUUAGCUUGCUGCUCAAAUCCAUUUUUAAUUUCCUCAUGCUACAGAAGUUGAAUUCUGUCAUUUUUGGGGACAUCUUGAGAUCGCUAUAGGAAUAUUGUUAACCGAAAUGGAAUGGUGAACAUCAUAUUGGAAACAUCUGGCCACACAACAUGUUUUUAUUGGAGGUGAGAUUUUCAAUCAGCGCCUAAAGAUGCUAGAGUGAUGAGAAGUGCCGAAGGAAGCCACUAAAAGAUGAGUUAAUGAGAAGAAGCUGACCUAGUAACACCACAAUCUUGAGGCAGAUGGAAAAAAAAAAAAAGACAUAUGUUGGAAAGUUCGUUUUCUGAGAAUGAGGUGAUCGGGUGCUACAAUGUUUUCUAAAAUGGAGUUCUAGAGAAAGAAAACCUUCUUUGAAAUUGGGAUCUCUAUACUACUCUUGCUGGCAAAACAUCUCUGUUGGAAUAUGAAGAUGGAAGAAAAAGCUAAGGAUUAACACCAAAUUUUCACCUCAAUACUAUUAUCUCAAGUAAAUCGAACAACAAAAGAAUCCGAAUUGAGGAACAAGAAUAUGGACUUAAGCCCAUGAAUUGCCUAAAGCUGUUGGAUGUUUGCAUAUGGAGUUCAUUCAUGAAGAGGUGCGUGUGGCUGUUAAAUUUUGGCGUUCUGCCUCCCUCUACUUCUCUGAAUCUAGCUUUGUGUAGCAGAAAUUUGCAUUAGAGCUGGAAUGGCGUGCAAGGGAGGUCAAGCUCAUAAGGAGGAAGAAAUUAGCUCAGUUACUUCCUUCUUAUUAUUGAAAUAUCUCACUUUGCGAAACGACAUGCUGAGGGCAGUAUCGUGAAGGUGCAGGAGUUGAUUCCACAUAUAUGUCUCACUUAGUAUUCUGCUGAAAAGCUACACACUAUAUGAGAUUCUUAGAGCUUGUUUUGCAUUUAAUAGGACAAUUGCAAGCACAUCCAAAAUAGAGUUUAAAUAGAUUUGCCUUUAGAUGAUCCUUUUAAGUUAGAGAUUAGAUGAUCCCUUAAGUUGGAAUACUGUUUGGUUCCCUCCCCAUACCAUUAUCACUUGAUUGUCUUCUGGAGCAGACAUACCCUUUGACCUUAAAGGCCUGGGUUCAAGUGAUGAUACUUUCCCAGCAACUACUACAGGAAAAUGUUUCUCAAAUUUUUUAAGACCACCAGAUUUAAACCUGUGUAGAAUGUAAACAAAAAGAAAAUGAAGCAUGCUUGUCUCCUUCACCUAA